rnacentral:rRNA from 1 species
UACGAAGGGGGCUAGCGUUGCUCGGAAUCACUGGGCGUAAAGCGCACGUAGGCGGCUUUCUAAGUCAGGGGUGAAAUCCUGGAGCUCAACUCCAGAACUGCCUUUGAUACUGGAGAGCUUGAGUACGGAAGAGGUGAGUGGAACUCCGAGUGUAGAGGUGAAAUUCGUAGAUAUUCGGAAGAACACCAGUGGCGAAGGCGGCGCGCUGGUCCGGUACUGACGCUGAUGUGCGAAAGCGUGGGGAGCAAACAGG